rnacentral:rRNA from 1 species
AACGAACGCUGGCGGCAUGCCUAACACAUGCAAGUCGAACGAGACCUUCGGGUCUUGUGGCGCACGGGUGCGUAACGCGUGGGAACCUGCCCUUAGGUUCGGAAUCACUCCCCGAAAGGGGUGCUAAUACCGGAUAAUGUCUUCGGACCAAAGAUUUAUCGCCUUUGGAUGGGCCCGCGUUGGAUUAGCUAGUUGGUAGGGUAAAAGCCUACCAAGGCGACGAUCCAUAGCUGGUCUGAGAGGAUGAUCAGUCACACUGGGACUGAGACACGGCCCAGACUCCUACGCGAGGCAGCAGUGGGGAAUAUUGUACAAGGGGCGAAAGCCUGAUCCAGCAAUGCCGCGUGAGUGAUGAAGGCCUUAGGGUUGUAAAGCUCUUUUACCCGGGAUGAGAAUGACAGUACCGGGUGAAUAAGCUCCGGCUAACUCCGUG